UUCUCUUGAUCUGCUCUCUAUACUGCACCCGCCAGAAGCUUAGACCCUAUCUUCGGCCCCGCGUCGGCCGCCCGUUGCGGCAAACAAGCGGCUAGCCGCCGGCGCAACCAGAUUAGGUUUUUUUGUCCCGCCGUCCGUCCGGCCCCGAGACGCCACGAGACAAACCCACCAAUCCCUCCGGCCCGGAGUAAUGGAGGCGCUGCGGGUGUGGAGGGCUUCCUCUAAUCUCUUCGGUUUCGCGGCGUCCCGCGCCGCCACAGCCACCGCCGCGAGGCCCCUCCGCCUUCACAGCCGCUGCUGCUCCGCGGCUGCCGCCACCACAAAACCGCCGCCGCCGCCUCAGGACCGCCGCUGCCGCAGCACCUCUUCCUCCACCUCCACCUCCGACCGCGACUCCAUCCGCGCCAUCCGAAUCAAAAAGGUUGAGGAGCUAAGAAGGAAGGGUUACGAGCCAUACGCGUACAAGUGGGAUAGGACUCACACGACCAAGGAGCUUCAGGAGGAGUACAUCCAUCUUGAGAAUGGCGAGGCCUGUGAAGAGGCGGCCGUGUCCAUUGCCGGGAGGAUUGUUGCCCGAAGGGUAUUCGGAAAGCUUGUUUUCAUGACAAUAAGAGAUGACACCGGGACUAUUCAGCUUUAUUGUGAGAAGGGCAGCCUUUCAGAGGACCAAUUUGAGCAACUGAAGGCAUUUAUUGAUAUUGGUGAUAUAUUAGGCGCAAGUGGAUCCAUGAAAAAGACAGAAAAAGGGGAACUAUCUGUUUUUGUGAAUUUUUUUGAAAUCCUCACAAAAUCCUUACUCCCACUACCAGACAAGUAUCAUGGCUUAACUGAUGUGGACAAACGUUAUCGUCAAAGGUAUGUUGACAUGAUUGCAAAUCCUGAGGUUGCAGAUGUAUUCCGAACUAGAGCAAAGGUUGUUUCUGAAAUCCGCAAGACAAUGGAAUCAUUCGGUUUCAUUGAAGUUGAAACUCCAGUUCUACAGGGAGCAGCAGGUGGUGCUGAAGCAAGACCUUUUAUAACCUACCAUAACUCACUUCAAAGAGAUCUUUACUUGAGGAUUGCUACAGAGCUGCAUUUGAAAAGGAUGUUGGUUGGAGGGCUUGAGAAGGUUUAUGAGAUUGGAAGAAUAUUUCGGAAUGAAGGCAUCUCUACUCGUCAUAAUCCUGAAUUUACAACUAUUGAGAUGUAUGAAGCAUAUUCAGACUAUGAAAGCAUGAUGAAUAUGGCUGAAGAAAUUGUCACUCGAUGUGCUAUGGCUACUUAUGGCAAGCUUAAGAUUGAUUAUCAGGGAACUGAAAUCUCCCUCGAAAGACCAUGGAGGAGGGAGACAAUGCAUUCUCUUGUCAAAGAAGCAACCGGAAUUGACUUUAACAGCUUUGGACAAGAUGUUGAAUCUGCUAAAAAUGCGGCAAAAGGACUGUCAGGGGUCAAAAUAGGAAUCAAUGAAAGUACUUCAUUAAAAGCCUGUUCAUCUGUUGGACAUGUUCUCAAUGAGGUUUUUGAGACUGUUGUUGAAUCUACUCUUGUACAACCAACAUUCGUCCUUGACUACCCAGUUGAGAUAUCACCAUUGGCAAAACCACAUCGGAGUUAUGCUGGCCUUACCGAGCGAUUCGAACUUUUCAUAUGCGGUCGUGAGAUUGGCAAUGCAUUUUCUGAGCUCACGGACCCAAUUGAUCAGAGGAGCCGCUUUGAAAAUCAGAUAAAACAGCACAAUGCUAAGCGUGCUGCAAUGGCUAAGGAGGUCAAAUCUACUGAAGGUCAAGGAGACGAGGACGAUUAUUCGUAUGAAGUGUCUUUAGAUGAAGACUUCUUGACUUCAUUAGAAUACGGAAUGCCACCAGCUUCUGGAAUGGGCCUCGGUAUUGACCGGUUAGUAAUGCUUUUGACGAACGCUGCCAGCAUAAGGGAUGUUAUUGCCUUUCCUGUCUUAAAGAUUCAGCAAUAGAGCCUUCAGUCAAGGAGGUGUGCAGUUCGAUAAUCUCCAAGAUCAAGCUUUCGAGGAUUUCGAGCAACCCUCCACUGAAGGCACCACUGGACGGUUAAGUGGCACAAGAGGGGGCUUCUACGUAAUGAAAUCAUCUGUUAGCAGUGAAAUCUCAGUGGGUUCCUGCAGGGGUUAGUGGGAGCUUUGUUAUGGCCUUGUAGUGAGAUCCCGACUCCACACCUAGAAGUGUACAGCAACACGGGAAUCACGACUCUUGGAGAAAGCUGUGCAAACUUGUUCAGAAGCCGUCAAUGAAGCUGCAACCUUUGACGAGGAUGACUUCGACCCAGACUUGUUUUUCUAGGCUGGAGUGCCCCUGGUCGAUGCCUGUGAUAGAUGGAAGCCCCACUGGCGCUGAAGCCCCUAUUUAGUUUCCCCUGUGUUUUCUUUUAGCUCCUCGGGUCCUUUUGUAAGAAGGUUGGUAACGUUAUUGUAAUAAUGACAUUGAUGAUGUAGCACAUGUAUGGAAACUUAAUCCUGUCAUA